AUUGAACGCUGGCGGCAGGCCUAACACAUGCAAGUCGAGCGACCGGCGGACGGGUGAGUAAUGUCUGGGAAACUGCCUGAUGGAGGGGGAUAACUACUGGAAACGGUAGUUAAUACUGCAUACCAACGGAUGUGCCCAGAUGGGAUUAGCUAGUAGGUGGGGUAACGGCCCACCAGGGCGACGAUCCCUAGCUGGGCUGAGAGGAUGACCAGCCACACUGGAACUGAGACACGGUCCAGACUCCUACGGGAGGCAGCAGUGGGGAAUAUUGCACAAUGGGCGAAAGCCGGAUGCAGCCAUGCCGCGUGUAUGAAGAAGGCCUUCGGGUUGUAAAGUACUUUCAGCGGGGAGGCGUUACCCGCAGAAGAAGCACCGGCUAACUCCGUGCCAGCCGCCGCGGUAAUAC
rnacentral:rRNA from 1 species